ACGGUCAGACUCACCCUUGAUAAUACCUUGUUGCUUUGGCAGGACGCCUCGUGCCAAGCGGCUUCGGCUGCUGAGUGCCUGCCAGAGGACCACAACUCUUGAAAUACAUGAUGUCUGAGUACUAUAUAAUAGUUAAAACUUUCAACAACGGAUCUCUUGGUUCUGGCAUCGAUGAAGAACGCAGCGAAAUGCGAUAAGUAAUGUGAAUUGCAGAAUUCAGUGAAUCAUCGAAUCUUUGAACGCACAUUGCGCCCUCUGGUAUUCCGGGGGGCAUGCCUGUUCGAGCGUCAUUAUAACCACUCAAGCUCUCGCUUGGUAUUGGGGUUCGCGAUUUCGCGGCCCCUAAACUCAGUGGCGGUGCCUGUCGGCUCUACGCGUAGUAAUACUCCUCGCGAUUGAGUCCGGUAGGUCUACUUGCCAGCAACCCCCAAUUUUACAGGUUGACCUCGGAUCAGGUAGGGAUACCCGCUGAACUUAA
rnacentral:rRNA from 1 species